rnacentral:rRNA from 1 species
GACGAACGCUGGCGGCGUGCUUAACACAUGCAAGUCACGGGGGCCCGCAAGGGUAACCGGCGAACGGGUGCGUAACACGUGAGCAACCUGCCUAGAUGUGGGGGAUAGCCGGCCCAACGGCCGGGUAAUACCGCAUACGGUCACGAGGAGGAGUCUCCUUGUGAAGAAACCUCCGGGGCAUUUAGAGGGGCUCGCGGCCUAUCAGCUAGUUGGUGAGGUAAUGGCUCACCAAGGCUUCGACGGGUAGCUGGUCUGAGAGGAUGGCCAGCCACAUUGGGACUGAGAUACGGCCCAGACUCCUACGGGAGGCAGCAGUGGGGAAUCUUGCGCAAUGGCCGAAAGGCUGACGCAGCGACGCCGCGUGUGGGA